rnacentral:rRNA from 1 species
UACCAGCACCCCCGAGUGGUCGGGACGAUUAUUGGGCCUAAAGCAUCCGUAGCCGGUCCUGCAAGUCUUCCGUUAAAUCCAGCUGCUCAACAGAUGGGCUGCGGGGGAUACUACAGGGCUAGGAGGCGGGAGAGGCAAGCGGUACUUUAUGGGUAGGGGUAAAAUCCGUUGAUCCAUAGAAGACCACCAGUGGCGAAGGCGGCUUGCCAGAACGCGCUCGACGGUGAGGGAUGAAAGCUGGGGGAGCAAACCGG